AGGACGAACGCUGGCGGCGUGCUUAACACAUGCAAGUGGAGCGACGAACCAGGGCUUGCCCUGGGGCAGAGCCGCGAACGGGUGAGUAACACGUGGGUUACCUGCCUCGAUGACCGGGACAACCCGAGGAAACUCGGGCUAAUACCGGAUGUGCCCGCAAGGGGAAAGGAAGCUUCGGCCUCCGCAUCGAGAUGGGCCCGCGGCCCAUUAGCUUGUUGGUGAGGUAACGGCUCACCAAGGCUUCGAUGGGUAGCUGGUCUGAGAGGACGAUCAGCCACACUGGGACUGAGACACGGCCCAGACUCCUACGGGAGGCAGCAGUGGGGAAUCUUGCGCAAUGCGCGAAAGCGUGACGCAGCAACGCCGCGUGGGGGAAGACGGCUUUCGGGUUGUAAACCCCUUUCAGUUGGGACGAAGCCUCGACGGUGAAUAGCCGUUCGGGGUGACGGUACCUUCACAAGAAGCACCGGCUAACGUACGUGCCAGCAGCCGCGGU
rnacentral:rRNA from 1 species